UGCAGAAACUGAAGGAAAAGCCGGAAUUCACGAACCCGGAUGAGUUCUAUUUUAAGAUGAUCAACAGUAGGACUGUUGGUGGAAUCCAUAGACCUAAGCCUGAAGAUAAUAAGUAUACUGAAGAGGAACUUCUUCUGUUGAAAAAUAAAGAUAUGGGAUAUAUCCUUCAGAGCAUUCAAUGUGAAAAAAGGUUUGUGACAUUUUAAAGUAUUCAUUAGCAAAUAAGUACAAUUCGGUGUCUUGUGGCUGAAUGUUUUACUAUGUUUUAAUUGGGAUGGAUCACUUUGUAGAAAAUCGAAAGCUAAGCUCAACACUUCAUGAACUUGAUAACAAGCCUCAAAACAAGCAUGUUUAUUUUGCUGAAGACGGGUACAGAUAAUGAGUUCUUUUGCUUACCAUUUUGGAACUAUCUGCUAGUUAAGCUUGUGCCAACAUUUAGGUGGCUCUUUUAUUUCAGAGAAGAAGCGAAAGAAAUACAAUCAAGGAUAGGACAAAGCAACAAAAUGCGUGAUCUUGACAACAUCCCUUCUCGUACAAAGAAGAAAAUAGCCUCUUCGUACAGGGAGUUAGAAGAGAUGAAGCAGCGGCUUCAAAAGCUUGAGAAAUUGUAUGCAACGGCUACGAGUUCGGC